rnacentral:lncRNA from 1 species
AAUGAACAGACAUGACUCUUCCAAAGGAUACACCUUUUAAGUGAACCAUUGCCACCUUUUAGAAGAGUCAUCUGAUGGCUAUAUAAACCUGCUUUCAUCCACAGGUUUAGAAAUGAAUGAAAAAUUUUCUAAAAUAAAAACUCUUCUUGUCUUCAAAACGUUCUUUAUGAUCAAUCAAGUCGUUGCGUGAGUUCGACGAAUCCAAUUAUUUGAGGUAUCACUAUAGUUGGAUUGAAAGCCAUUUUAUCUAGGGAGAAAGAUUCCAAAACCUCAGGUACAGUGAGGGGAAUUAUUCCUUAAGGACACUCCAUGAAGUCGGGGGACUUGGCAUUAUAUUUUUGUUUCAUCUUAAUUUCUGAAAAAAUAAAAAACACUUCUUAGAAUGAUCAGUUUGAUCUUGUGUUGAGGGUGUUUUUGUACUUCAUAGUGUUCUUGUUUUGAACUUGAACUAGUGUUGAAGUUUUUAUGUCUAAAUACAGAUUCUUGUACCCGAAUACAUCAUAAAAUAACAAUCCUACAGAAUCAAUAUUGCUUGUUAUUGGAGAUUAAAGUUUUAAGCUUUCUACUCCGUUUGAACUUAACUAAUGAUUCGAAGACAUAAAAUCUUCAUCACAAGUUAAAGAUCAUUCGGUUGAUGAUUGGAAGUCAUAAAAACUUCAUCGUUAACUAGAAACAAGAAGAAGUGUUUAAAGUUGCUUAACUUUAUAAGUUGUAUUCUGAAAAUACUAAAUUUUAUUAUCUUGUGUUGACAGAAAAAUGAAUAACGAAAGUCAAAAGCAAGAUG